rnacentral:lncRNA from 1 species
GCCGAAACCCUAGUUGGAAACUAAAACCGUCUACGCUAACAAUUAGGAAAUCACCUUAUUAUUACAAUGUAGUACGCUUAAAGAGGAGGACAUACAAAACCAGGAGGAGGAGUCUUUCCACAGGUUAUCAAGGCCUGGAGAGCAAGAGGAAUGAAUAUGUUCAGGUUAAGAAGCUUGAGCCUUAUAGUGGUGCAAAGACAAAUGGCUGCUUCGAGCUCUAGCAACCCUUUUAGCACUGGGCAGCAAGCAUUUUCAACGGGGUUUCCUAGCCCUAUGUGCACCAAACCUCCAAGAACAUCCACACAAAGCCCUAGCUUAAGUGCAUUGAUUGGACAAGUGGGUUGAGUAGUAGGUGGAGGGUUAAGUCCCGGAACAUUGCCGCCUCCUCCGCCACCACCUCCGCCGCCUCCGCCGCCGCCGCCUGGCGGUGUGUAAGGUGGAUAAGUAGAAGGUGGUGGAAUUGUUACCGGAGGGUUUGUGACAGGAGGAGUAAUUACCGGAGGAUGUGUAAUUGGAGGGACUGUGACUGGUGGUGGAGGAAAAAUGAUUGGAGGGGCAAUAAUUGGCGGCCUUUUGGAUGGUGGUGAUAAUUUCGGGGGGUGACCUCCAUGAUGUGGCGGGUGUUUGGUGCGUGGUGGGUUCGGGUGGGGAAUUUUCGGAUGAGUCUUCGGAGGGCU